AACGCCACCGGCAACCACUACUACAUCUGCACUAUUGGCCGGCACUGCACCUCUGGUCAGAAGCUAGCCAUUACUGUCUCAGCCAAUCCCGGCUCGAAUCCCCCUUCUGCAUCUCCAGCAUCCCCACCGCCAACCACCAUUGCCACACCUUCUCCGACUGCUACUCCUGAUGAUCGCACUCCCACUCCAUCACCGAGUCUCAUGACCGACGCCCCUCAUGCUGCAACUCCAACUCAAACUCCGGCAGCCCCACCACCAACAGCCACUAUACCACCUCCAGGGGCACCUUCUCCGACUGCCACUCCUGAUGAUUGCGCUCCCACUCCAUCACCUAGUCUCAUGACCGACGCACCUCCUGAUGCAACUCCAACUCAAACUCCGGCAGCCCCAUCUCCAACAGCCACUAAACUACCCCCAAGGACACCUUCUCCGACUGCUACUCCUGAUGAUUGCGCUCCCACUCCGUCACCGAGUCUCAUGACCGACGCACCUCCUGCUGCAACCCCAACUCAAACUCCGGCAGCCCCACCACCAACAGCCACUAAACCACCUCCAGGGACACCUUCUCCCACUGGUAAUCCUGAUGAUUGUGCUCCCACACCAUCACCCAAUCCCAUGACUGGUUCACCAGCUCCUGCAACCCAUCUCUAGAUGCUUCCCUUUGCCUCCUUGGUGUCCG
rnacentral:lncRNA from 1 species